rnacentral:lncRNA from 1 species
GAAGUAAUAAAAUUGAGAAUGGAAAUGGGGAAUGUGUCAAAGAGACAACAACCCGACCAAAUAAAACACAACAGCAGAGGGUCACCAACAGGUCUUCAAUGUAGCGAGAAAUUCCCGCACCCGGAGGCGUCCUUCAGCUGGCCCCUAAACAAAUAUAUACUAGUCCAGUGAUAAUGAACGCCAUACUAAUUUCCAAAUUGUACACAAGAAACUAAAAUUAAAAUAUUACAAGACUAACAAAGGCCAGAGGCUCCUGACUUGGGACAGGCGCAAAAAU